GGCCCCUUAGCAUAGCCUGGAGUCCUCUCCCUCUCUGUAAAGAGGAAGAAUCGGGCACCUAGUGCGCUCGGGUCCUUGUGCAAUAGCGCAGGGACAGCGAAACUGAUAACAAAACUAGGUGUUAUAACUCAAGACCAAGGUUUUGUAGGACAUCGAGAGGUCCGGAGUUCAAACAUACCCGCUGAGAGCCCGUAUCUUUCAGCGGGAGUUGAAAGUCUCCGAGGGGCCA
rnacentral:tRNA from 1 species